CCUCUUGGCCUGGAUGUGAAUCCCCACCCUUUUCUUGAUGGACUUGAGGGCGCGUUUGUCCUUGGAAACCCUGAGCAGCUCUAUGGCUCAUCAUUGUAGAGG